UACGGUGGGGGCAAGCGUUGUUCGGAAUUACUGGGCGUAAAGGGCUCGUAGGCGGCCAACUAAGUCGGAUGUGAAAUCCCCAGGCUUAACCUGGGAACUGCAUCCGAUACUGGAUGGCUUGAAUCCGGGAGAGGGAUGCGGAAUUCCAGGUGUAGCGGUGAAAUGCGUAGAUAUCUGGAGGAACACCGGUGGCGAAGGCGGCAUCCUGGACCGGUACUGACGCUGAGGCACGAAAGCUAGGGGAGCAAACAGG
rnacentral:rRNA from 1 species